AGCAGCCGCGGUAAUUCCAGCUCCAAUAGCGUAUAUUAAAGUUGUUGCAGUUAAAAGCUCGUAGUUGAAUUUCGGGAUCAAUACGUCGGUCGUGCUUCGGUACGUACUGGCGUAAUUGAUUUCUCCCUUCUGACGAACCAUGAUGUCAUUAACUUGGUGUCAUGGGAAAUCAGGACUGUUACUUUGAAAAAUUGAGUGUUUAAAGCAGGCUCACGCUUGAAUACAUUAGCAUGGAAUAAUGAAAUAGGACGUUCGAUCCUAUUUUGUUGGUUUUAGGAUCAACGUAAUGAUUAAUAGGGAUAGUUGGGGGCAUUAGUAUUCAAUUGUCAGAGGUGAAAUUCUUGGAUUUAUUGAAGACUAACUACUGCGAAAGCAUUUGCCAAGGAUGUUUUCAUUAAUCAAGAACGAAAGUUAGGGAUCGAAGACGAUCAGAUACCGUCGUAGUCUUAACCAUAAACUAUAGCCGACUAGGGAUCGGAUGAUGUUAAUUUUUAAUGACUCAUUUCGG
rnacentral:misc_RNA from 1 species